GACGAACGCUGGCGGCGUGCUUAACACAUGCAAGUCGAACGGAAAGGCCCUGCUUUUGUGGGGUGCUCGAGUGGCGAACGGGUGAGUAACACGUGAGUAACCUGCCCUUGACUUUGGGAUAACUUCAGGAAACUGGGGCUAAUACCGGAUAGGAGCUCCUGCUGCAUGGUGGGGGUUGGAAAGUUUCGGCGGUUGGGGAUGGACUCGCGGCUUAUCAGCUUGUUGGUGGGGUAGUGGCUUACCAAGGCUUUGACGGGUAGCCGGCCUGAGAGGGUGACCGGCCACAUUGGGACUGAGAUACGGCCCAGACUCCUACGGGAGGCAGCAGUGGGGAAUAUUGCACAAUGGGCGGAAGCCUGAUGCAGCAACGCCGCGUGCGGGAUGACGGCCUUCGGGUUGUAAACCGCUUUCGCCUGUGACGAAGCGUGAGUGACGGUAAUGGGUAAAGAAGCACCGGCUAACUACGUGCCAGCAGCCGCGGUGAUACGUAGGGUGCGAGCGUUGUCCGGAUUUAUUGGGCGUAAAGGGCUCGUAGGUGGUUGAUCGCGUCGGAAGUGUAAUCUUGGGGCUUAACCCUGAGCGUGCUUUCGAUACGGGUUGACUUGAGGAAGGUAGGGGAGAAUGGAAUUCCUGGUGGAGCGGUGGAAUGCGCAGAUAUCAGGAGGAACACCAGUGGCGAAGGCGGUUCUCUGGGCCUUUCCUGACGCUGAGGAGCGAAAGCGUGGGGAGCGAACAGGCUUAGAUACCCUGGUAGUCCACGCUGUAAACGGUGGGUACUAGGUGUGGGGUCCAUUCCACGGGUUCCGUGCCGUAGCUAACGCUUUAAGUACCCCGCCUGGGGAGUACGGCCGCAAGGCUAAAACUCAAAGGAAUUGACGGGGCCCCGCACAAGCGGCGGAGCAUGCGGAUUAAUUCGAUGCAACGCGUAGAACCUUGCCUGGGUUUGACAUGGAUCGGGAGUGCUCAGAGAUGGGUGUGCCUCUUUUGGGGUCGGUUCACAGGUGGUGCAUGGCUGUCGUCAGCUCGUGUCGUGAGAUGUUGGGUUAAGUCCCGCAACGAGCGCAACCCUUGUUCACUGUUGCCAGCACGUUAUGGUGGGGACUCAGUGGAGACCGCCGGGGUCAACUCGGAGGAAGGUGGGGACGACGUCAAGUCAUCAUGCCCCUUAUGUCCAGGGCUUCACGCAUGCUACAAUGGCUGGUACAGAGAGUGGCGAGCCUGUGAGGGUGAGCGAAUCUCGGAAAGCCGGUCUCAGUUCGGAUUGGGGUCUGCAACUCGACCUCAUGAAGUCGGAGUCGCUAGUAAUCGCAGAUCAGCAACGCUGCGGUGAAUACGUUCCCGGGGCU
rnacentral:rRNA from 1 species